GACGAACGCUGGCGGCGUGCUUAACACAUGCAAGUCGAACGGAAAGGCCCUGCUUUUGUGGGGUGCUCGAGUGGCGAACGGGUGAGUAACACGUGAGUAACCUGCCCUUGACUUUGGGAUAACUUCAGGAAACUGGGGCUAAUACCGGAUAGGAGCUCCUGCUGCAUGGUGGGGGUUGGAAAGUUUCGGCGGUUGGGGAUGGACUCGCGGCUUAUCAGCUUGUUGGUGGGGUAGUGGCUUACCAAGGCUUUGACGGGUAGCCGGCCUGAGAGGGUGACCGGCCACAUUGGGACUGAGAUACGGCGCAGACUCCUACGGGAGGCAGCAGGGGGGAAUAUUGCACAAUGGGCGGAAGCCUGAUGCAGCAACGCCGGGUGCGGGAUGACGGCCUUCGGGUUGUAAACCGCUUUCGCCUGUGACGAAGCGUGAGUGACGGUAAUGGGUAAAGAAGCACCGGCUAACUACGUG
rnacentral:rRNA from 1 species